rnacentral:lncRNA from 1 species
AGGCCUGGGGAACAGGGCUCCUCCCUGCCUCUCAGCAGAUCGCUUCAUGCCUAUCAGCCUGCAGCACAUUCCUCGCAUUCUAGGAUUGAGAUACACAGUUUGGUUCUUGUGAGGGCAGCCAGGGCUGGGGAGGAGGGCAGAGAACAUCCCAGAGAUCAAGACUGCUCUUCUUGCUCCCUCCCCGACUGACUUGGCCCACACUGACUGGCCUGCCACCCCUUUACAGUGAUCUCCACCCAGUCUCUCUCUGCAAAGGCCUCCCUUGGCUCUCUGAUAAAGUUGGAGCUGUGGGUGCAGCAUUUCACUUGGACCUAGCAGCAUCAAUGAGCCAGCUCCUCACUGGGGAACAUGCAAACCCCCAGCUGCUGGUGUGCAGGAAAAGAAUCCAGGAGAUCACCUGAUGAAGCCCAGCAUUUUACAGGCAGUGGAGCAGGGGAAUCCAGUUGACACUGUGGCUAAAUUUCAGAAAACCUCCCAUGAGAUCUUGCAAAGGAGAUGGAGAAAAUAUGGCUGAAUGCCAGCAAGAGCAAAGUGGUGAAAGGACCCUGGUGAGAGGCCCAAAGAACAGGAGGUGUGAGCCAAGAGAAGGUCCUGCCAGGCCUAUGUUGCAGGCUAUUUGGAGGCUGAACUUGAGGAAACUUCAGUCUUCAGUCUUAAGGCCUUCAACUGAUUGGAAGGCCCCCAGUCAGCUAGUGGGAAGACCCAUGCACAUUAGAGAGGGUAAUCUGCUUUGUUCACUGUCUACUGAUGUCAAUGUUAAUUAUCUUUAAAAAAAAAUACCUUCAACAUCUAUUUUGUUCUUUGGUCAAACAACUGGCCACCAUAACCUAGCCAAGAGAACACAUGAAAUUAACCAUCACAGAGACCCAUGAGGAUGUGUUGAUACAUUGAAUGUAUGAGAGGAAAAAAAAAAA